UUAUUGACAAGGAAAUGAGAGGGGAUUAUUUGGGAUCGAUGGUUCAGGUUGUGCCACAUAUUACAGAUGCUAUUCAAGAUUGGAACGAACGGGUCGCAGCUAUACCUGUUGAUGGAAAAGAAGGUCCACCUGAUGAGAUAUUGAAUCUAUGUCGUUUAUCAAAGCGCUUGGACAGUUCUCUUACUGCGUUGGAGUCCGGAUCAAAACCGGUGUCGGAAGAGGCGGGUUCGUGAAGGACAUGUACGUAAAAGGGUUCACCAUGCACACCAUGAAAUGGGCGUUUUGGAUGAUGGGUAACUACGGGUCGCACCUUGAUGACAAAUGGGACCCGAAUGCGAUCCCCAUUAUCUAAAACAUAAACUACCGAGACAUGGUGGCGGAAAAUGUCACCAUGGCGGCUAGAUUGGAGGGGAGGUGAUCCUUUUACGGGGAUUUGUAUAUCGAAUGUGACUAUUGGAAUGUCACAGUUUGCAAAGAAACCGAUAUGGAACUGUACCGAUGUCGAGGGGGUGUCGAGUGAUGUGACACCGCAGCCUUGUGCCGC